rnacentral:pre_miRNA from 1 species
GGGAGAGACAACCGCAGGGGGCGGGGGGGCAGCUCUGUAGCCCUGGAGGCAGCCCCCGCAGUAACUACUGAGCUCUCCGUCUGCAGGGCCUGGAGGCUCCGGGGCGGG